CUAUAGUCUGCUACAUAGCCUGGUCAGAAGCUUCAAAAUUUGUUAUCUGAUCAGUGGAAUCAAAUGGGAUGGCAAGGAAGAGAUCCAUCUACAGACUUCACUUUUUUCCUUUUGUCCCUAUGUCUAUAUAAUAUUAAACUCUUCCCCCGUUCUCCCCCUCAUUCAGUUUCUUUUGUGACACUUGACAUUGCAAUUUUGAUAUGCAGAGGUCUGGUUUCAUUUCUUUGGAGAAUUUACUGUUUUUUGCCAAGACAUUUUCGGUAGGAUUCCAUUUCUCACUUUUCUAAGUAAUGUGCUUAUGACUUGCAUAGGAUACUUGUAUUGUUUUGUUAUUCCUUUUCUGUUAUAUUUGGAGGGAAGGAAUUCUGAGUUUGCCGUUCAGCUUCAGUUUUUGACACAUUGCCUUUAGAAACAAUACGAUGCGUAAGGACUGUGUCCUGCUGGAAAAAUUGAAACAAUCUGUAAUAAAACGUUUUCUUGAUUUCUUUGGAGAGCAAUUUCGGGUCAAAAUAAUUUCUUUGUUCCUUGCCACAGACAUCCUUUCAAAGUCUAUUGAAGAAGCAAGCAGGCAAAAGAGCUGUUUGGGAAUAUCCAUUUGCUGUCGCUGGUGUAAAUAUCACAUUCAUGAUUGUACAAAUGCUUGAUCUAGAUGCCAGUAAGGGGAAAAAUAAAUUGCAAAUUUGUAAAAUUUGACGAAGUACAUGAAUCUCUAGGCGACUGGCAUGCAGUGAAACCCAGAAAAUUUGUUAGAGCUGUUUUUCUAAAGAUGUUGUCGGGUAAGAUCAAUGUCAUUUUCAUGUUAUGUACAUCAAAUUUUGUUUCGAUGCUUCAAAAAUUGAAGUCUUGAUGCGUUUGCAGAGAAUGAGUGGGUCUUUGACCUGCUAUAUUGUGUGGCUUUCAUAAUAAUGGACAAAUUGUGGCUGGAGAAAAAUGCUAGUUACAUGGAUUUCAAUGUACGCAAGCCUUUU
rnacentral:lncRNA from 1 species